rnacentral:rRNA from 1 species
GACGAACGCUGACGGUGUGCUUUAGACAUGCAAGUCGAACGCGAAAGCCCUUCGGGUUAGUAGAGUGGCGAACGGGUGAGUAACACGUGGGCAAUCUGCCCCUCGCAGGGGGACAACCGGAGGAAACUCCGGCUAAUACCCCGUACGCUUGUAGGAUCGCAUGAUCUUACAAGGAAAGGUAGCUUCGGCCAUCCGGCGAGGGAUGAGCCCGCGGUGCAUUAGCUAGUUGGUGGGGUAACGCCCACCAAGGCGACGAUGCAUAGCUGGUCUGAGAGGAUGAUCAGCCACAC